AUUGAACGCUGGCGGCAUGCCUUACACAUGCAAGUCGAACGGCAGCACGGACUUCGGUCUGGUGGCGAGUGGCGAACGGGUGAGUAAUGUAUCGGAACGUACCUUUCAGUGGGGGAUAACGUAGCGAAAGUUACGCUAAUACCGCAUAUUCUGUGAGCAGGAAAGCAGGGGAUCGAAAGACCUUGCGCUGAUUGAGCGGCCGAUAUCAGAUUAGCUAGUUGGUGGGGUAAAGGCCUACCAAGGCGACGAUCUGUAGCGGGUCUGAGAGGAUGAUCCGCCACACUGGAACUGAGACACGGUCCAGACUCCUACGGGAGGCAGCAGUGGGGAAUUUUGGACAAUGGGGGCAACCCUGAUCCAGCCAUGCCGCGUGAGUGAAGAAGGCCUUCGGGUUGUAAAGCCCUUUCGGCCGGGAAGAAAUCGCAUAGGCUAAUACCCUGUGUGGAUGACGGUACCGGAAGAAGAAGCACCGGCUAACUACGUG
rnacentral:rRNA from 1 species